CCGCGAUGGCGAAGACGUUGGCGGGCUCUCAAGGCCGCCUCCUGGUGAAAAGAACCCCAGACACACCACUUCUCUCCCUUUCAGUCUGUGCCCUCCUCGACCGCUUCCCCCAAAUCUCACAGCAUCAACGAGGCCCGCCCAGCCAGAACGUAAUCACCUCUAGGAGGGCAGUGGCUUACUGUUGUAUCUUCGGUACCCAGAGCCUGGCGCAUCACAGGUACUCAAAAAAGAUACUGAGAGAAGGAAUUCUCUGGAAAGGUGUUUUUGAAAGUUGAGUUCCUCCAGAGGUCUGACAGCUUUGGGAGUCACACGACAUCUUCUCUGGCCCACUGGAGACAGGCCACAGCAGGACCGGAAGAUCCCACAGCCGCUUGCAUGCUAUAAACCCCC